AGGAACAUGUGGUUUAAUUCGAUGAUACGCGAGGAACCUUACCUGGGCUUAAAUGUAGAGUGCAUGGGGUAGAAAUAUCCCUUUCCUUCGGGACUCUUUGCAAGGUGCUGCAUGGUUGUCGUCAGCUCGUGCCGUGAGGUGUCGGGUUAAGUCCCAUAACGAGCGCAACCCUUAUCGUUAGUUGCCAGCGGGUCAUGCCGGGAACUCUAACGAAACUGCCGGUGUAAACCGAGAGGAAGUGGGGAUGACGUCAAAUCAGCACGGCCCUUAUGUCCAGGGCUACACACGUGUUACAAUGGCCGGUACAGAGGGCAGCUACCUGGAGACAGGAUGCGAAUCUCGAAAGCCGGUCUCAGUUCGGAUCGGAGUCUGCAACUCGACUGCAUGAAGUCGGAAUCGCUAGUAAUCGCGAAUCAGCAGGUCGCGGUGAAUACGUUCCCGGGCCUU
rnacentral:rRNA from 1 species